AUUUUUUUUGGUGAAGCUUUCUUCUGUGAACUUAGAAUCUUCUGAUAUAGGUUGAACAACUCCAGCUCUCUCUGCCUUUUCUCCUAAGAGCACUGCUCCAGCCCUUUUGAUUAUUCCUGUGGGCCUUCUCUAGUCCUGUUCCAAUGGGUUCAUGUACUGCUGGAGCUGUAGGCUCCUGAGCUUCUGCUGCAGUACUGCAGGUGGGAUCUCAAAAAAGCAAAGAGGGAGAAUCAUCUCCCUCAACCUGUUAGCCACGUUAUUUGACACAGGCCAGGAUGCGGUUGUUUUUCAAUAUUGCUAGUAUAAAAAAAACUAAGACCCCUCCUGAGUCACCUAGUGAAUUUCAAGAGAAGUUGCUCAAGUGGAAAUCUGGUUUCUUAUGCAAUAGCAAGAGCGAGAGGGAGGAAGGCGUGGAAGAUGUCUCACCAGGUCAGGCGAGUGGACUUUAGGACUCUACUCCAAUGCCUCAGAGAGGAACAGGUUUCUCAUGCUCAGUCUGACUACUUCUUGCUUCAGUUCAUUUGCUGUGACUCUUAUUCUCCUGCCAUACAUUGCUCUGGCUCUAACUUCUUAAGAGCAUCCCUGCAGGUCCGUGGUUGGGGCUGCUGUUAAGAACUCGUGAGCUCUUCCUUAUCCACACCAAAUAAGCCCCAGUUUCUUAGCCUCUCCUUCCAAACUACUUCCUACAGGUGCUCAUAGUACCUUUCUACAACUCCUCUGUUUAGAAGUAAUGAACAACAUUAAUUGAAAAUGUGUAGAGUUGGGAUUUGUAUUUCAUUAACUGUUCUAUGAAAGAACAAUCAUCUCUGUGUAAUCUGAAUGAGGUACAGCCAGCAAACCAUGCACUGGCUUUAACAGCAUUUCCAGGUGCUGUUCUAUUUCUUCAGCAACACAAUAAUCUUGUUUCUGUGAUGCAGUGAUGUUCAACUGUGCUGAUUCAAUAGCAUUUCUAUUAAUAGCCAGGUAAUCUAAUCUACUCGUGGAUAAAAAUAACUCAUUUUCAGAUGUAAUAUGAAAGGGGCAGAAUGAAAUCUCCACCCUUUGUGUCCUAGCUGCCGCUGCUGUUCUUUCUGUGUGCUUUUAGGGCCAUUUAUGAGUGCUGUUUGAAAAUAUAUUGGCUAAAAAGCAAAUGGGUUGACUGUGUACAGCUUUACUUGAUGAUCACCAGCUGGCAGUUUUUGUGCUAUUUGUUACUGCUCCUGUUCAGUUACCCAAAGAUUCAGUGAUUCAAACUAGGAAAGUAGUAUGAAGGGGGUUGAUGCAGUCUCAUAACUUCUACUUUCCAAAAAACUAUCUCUUUUUUUUGUUUAAUGGAUGGUGUGAAUUGCAC